rnacentral:lncRNA from 1 species
UAGGCCAAAACAAUUCCAAAUGUCCCAAUUUUUCGCCCCAAUCCACUCUCCUCCACUGGCCCAACUCCCUUUAUCCCUAUAAACACUCAUCCUCUUUACCCAAAAAGAGAUCAGACCUAAUUUCAUUCCCUGACCCUAGAGUCAAAAAAAAUCAGAUCUUUUACCCCAAAAGGAACUAGCGGUCGUUUCCCCUAUCUUCUUCCUCAUCUUCUCAAAAUAGGAACACCAGAGAACAUACUGCCCAUGUAUCCCACGACUUUUUGAACUCCUCCAUUUUCAACACACUUGAAACCAACGCUCAAUUUUAUCAACAUCGAGAAGGUAAAUUCUGAAAUUUUAUGGAAAAGGGUAAUGCGAAAAUAGCUACGACUUAUAGAAACAGCACAGUUCCUAAAGAAUAUUUAAAGAUAGAUAGGCCUUUUUUUAUGAAUUCAACUUGAAAAUCUUUAUCUUUAAAAUCCAAAAACUCUGGUGAUGCUUCGGUUUUCAGUAUCUGUUGUAAAAGCAAUGGCUCCAUCGCUAACUCUGCUGCUUCCACUAAGGAUGCUACCUCCAGAUUUUUAGAGCAUUAAGUCUAUUGUCUUGUUGUGCUGAUUCUGCUAAUCUUCAUCCACGUUUUCUGCCUUCAUUUGUCUUCUCUUUGGAGUAUUGUUUCUCAAACAAUUAGGUACACAACUUUGAACUUGUCUUAAUUGUGCGAAGCAAAUGAAAUUCCUGCUGAGUUUUGGUUUUUCUUUUUUGCUUUCUUAUCUGAUUGGCUAUGAGAAUUACCUUGAUUCCCGUUUUCAUUUAAGAAUAUUGUUGUUAGUUAGUUGACUCUUUUAAGCACUUUUACUUUCACCUAGCUCUUGAAUCGGGUCAGAGAUGAAAUCGUUUGUUCUACUUGCUGAACUUAAUAGAUGUUGUAGUUGAAUUCGCUAUGGCGUAUUUGUUUAAAGCAUAAACUCAAUUGAAUGGGGACUAUCAUAUCUUGUGUUUCUGCUUGGACUAUUCCUGGGAUGUCAUUGAUUAUAAUGGUGGACUUUAAGCUAAUGUGUACAGAUUUAAUAUUAAAAGGCUUUCAAUGAGCUUGGACACCAGUUCAACUCUAGUUUAGCUUAUGUAAUUGGGCCAUUCAAAGUAUAAUUAAAGAGGCUAUUGAUGUAAAGUUGAAAAUUGUGCUUUUUCUAUAACGAAUUGGUGAUGUAAUUUUUGAAUUUAAGAUAAUAUAUAUUCAUGCUUAGCUUAAUUCAUAGCUAUUUCGCUUUUCUUUAUGGAUAGCCUUUUGAGUUUGAUUAUCAAAUCUGAUUUCAAACUCUUCUAAAUAAUUAUUACUAAGCAAGUUCAGUGUGUCAAGAUCAUAUACAUUAAUUUCUAUGCCUUUUACCCACAAAAUUGUAAUCCUCUCAUAAUCUAGUUUAAAAUCCACCAAUGUGCACUCUUGCCAAAUGAUUCUAUCAUUCCAAUAAUCUCAAAGUAGGAAAUAAUUCAUGAACAUCGUAACUUGCUUUAUGACCGAUUAAUAAUAAAUCUUCGUGACUAUGGGUGCAGUUUCUGUGGCAUAGUCAUGAUGUGUAACUCCAAAAUUUGAGUGCACGCUGGCAUGACGCGACCCCCCCCCCCUUCCCCAACUCCGAACAAUUAUAAAAAGAAACAUAUUGUAAAUCGCUGGUGCAUUUCAUGUGACGUGGUUUGCAAUGUGUACCAAAACAACAAGUGUACGACAACGAUGUAAUGAUCCGGCCGGUCAUUUCAUGAGUUACCGCUCCGUUUCCCCCAUUUGUGCUUCUUUAUGUCUUGUUCAGCUGUAUUAUAUGGUAUCAGGUUAGUUGAUUCGGGUUUGGAGUGGUUUUGGAGAGGUUUGAGACACUUAGUCUAUUUUGAGUAAGCUUAAGUGGGAAAACUCAACCGGAUGUUGACUUAUGUGAAAAAGGGCUGGGAUGUGAAAUAUGAUGAUUCGGAUAGCUUCAAAAGGUGAUGUAAGAGCAUGAUCGGAAUGUGUUUUGGAAGUUCGUAGUAAAUUUAGGAUUGAAGUGGCAAAAAUGGAUUUUUGGCGUGUUUCGGUUGAUAGUGGAAAUUUUGAUAUAGGGGUCGGAGUGGAGUUCCAGGAGUGACAAUAGGUUCGUUGUAUCAUAUGGGAUGUGUGUGUAGAAUUUCAGGUCAUUCGGACGAGGUUUGAUAGACUUUUUGAUCGAAAGCGGAAUUCAGAAGUUUUUGGAGUCCUUAGGCUCGAAUCCGUGGUUGAUUUGUUGUUUUAAUGUUGAUUUAGGUGCUUCGAAGAUUGGUAUAUGUUUGGAUGGUGGUAUAUGACUUGUUCGUACUUUUGGUUUAGGUCCCGGGGGCCUCGGGGUAAUUUCGGAUGGUUGAUGGGAGAUUUGGAGCUGGAAAUUUGUAGCUGAAGUUGUUGGAGCUCCUAUCUGAGGGUUCGAAACCCCAAACUAUGUGUUCUAUGAUUACUAAUGAGGUGACGCAAAUGCCAAGUGAUGGGUGUGUGGGCAUGCACCAUGAGAAAUGUGUCCUGGAUCAUUCCAGAGCACCGCUUAAUGACUCUUUCUUGCUGAUAUCUAUGUUGUAUCUAUGUGAUUAAGUUAAUGAGCUGCAAAUCAUGCUAAUUACCAUGUUAAGGGUUCACACCAAUACUGUUGAGACCCGAGAGGUCAUUUCUUGUUGUCAUGUCAUUAGCUUCAUCUAUAUUCUAUACUAAGUCCUGUUUAUGCAUAUUAUAUCAUGCCUCAGUCUUGAUUAUUACUAUUUGACAUAUCAUAUCACUGUUCGGGCUAGUAUCAUGACAUUUUUGAGCCCGUCUCUGUGAGACUGGAGAGUAUUGACUGAGUGUGGCCGAGAGCCUGAUAUUGAUUGACAAUAUGGGAUCGGGCUGCACGCCAUAGCGAGAUAUUGAUCAUGCCUUCGCUGGCAUUGAUAUAGCUCUUGGUCUCAGAGAAGCCCCUCCGGAGUCUUUACACCCCAGUGAGCGCAGUUGAUGAUAUUGAAGGAUGGAUUUUCCCUGGACACGGAUCUUGUCUGAAGUAUUGGUAUAGAGAUGGAUCUUUUCCAUGAGGCUGGAUUGGCCUGUUUCCUCGGUACUGGGUGACUUAUAGUCUGUGACGUAUGUUUACCGUGAAAAUGGUAACAACAAUUAAAUUUGUAAAUGGUACUCUAAUAAUAUGUGAUCUAUUUUUAUGCUAGUUAUUAGAGCAGUUGAUGCUAGGUGUAUUAACUGCACCUGCGACUUGGGGACCGCAGGUGCGGGCCCGCAGAAGCGUAAGGAGGGAUGCAGAUGCGAAAAUAGGCGAGAGGAGCAGGAACCGCAGAUACAGAUGUUUGAGCGCACCUGUGAUAGAGCAGGUGCGGAAUUUUGAUCGCAGGUGCGGUCCUUGGGAGGUUAAGUGAAUUCCAUAGAUGCGCACCUAGGAUCGCAGGUGCGGGUUUGCAGGUGCGAGAUUUCGACCGUAGAAGCGGUUUAGCUGGGGAAGAACAUUUAUAUUUAGCCCUUCACGAUUUUUGAGUGGUUUUUCACCAUUUUCAUGCAGGUCUGAGCUUGGGAGAGCAAUUUGAAGAGAUAAUUCAAGAGGGUUACAUGGAGAUAAGAAUUUCGGACCCUAAACUUGUUUCUAUGAUUGAUUUUGACUGAUUAAGCUUGAAAUCUAUGGAAAUUAGUAGCAAAAAUUAGGUGUUUAGGGCUUGGAAAAUUGGAGAGCUUAAUCUAGGGAUUUAAGGGGUCAUUUGUGAUCGGAUUCUAGUAUUCUUAGUAUGUAUGAACUCGUAAGAGUGUAAGGAUUCUAGUUUUGUGAAUUUUAUCGGAAAUCGAGACAUGGGCCCGGGGGUCGGGUUUAACCAAUUUCGGGAUUUGUGAUGUAAUUUGAUUAUUUUCGCACUGGCUUUGUUCCCUUAGCAUAUAUUGAUGUUAUGGUUCUGAUUUUGGUUAGAUUCGGGGCAUUUGGAGGCUGAAUCGAGAGGAAAGAGCAUCGCGGGCAAGAGUUUGGCUUGGCUUGAGGUUGUAAGUAAUGCUUCCAAACUUGUGACUUGUUCCAGAAAUAAUUCCAUAAUAAAUUAAAAGCGAUGUAAAAGUUAAAAAUACACAAUAGGUUUAAAACAUAUAGUUAAUCAGAUAAUUAGUCCAAUUAUUAAUAGUUGAGCGACCGUGCAAAAAUUACGGAACUCGGGGGUGCCUCACACCUUCUCCCGGGUUAAUAGAAUUCCAUACCAGGUCUUCUGUGUUUGCGGACCAUAAAUAAGAGUCAAUUUUCUCGAUUUGGGAUUUAAAGUAAUCUGGUGACUUGGGACACCAUAAAUUAUUCUAAGUGGAGACUCUGAAUUUAAUAAAUAAUCUCAUUUCGUUUAAUGUCACUUAAAUUGGAAAAACUUCCUUAUAUCUCCUUUCGGGUAAAAAAGGAGGUGUGACAACUCUGGCGACUGUGCUGGGGACAGGAACUCAGAAUCUCUGGUUCAGGGUUCAGAAUUCGAGCUUAGAAUAACUUUGAUGGUUGGCUUUUGUCUAUUAUCUGAUUUUUAUGUGUUUAAUCCUAAUGUGUUAAUUGUCGCUUUUAACCGCUUUGAUAUUAUUUGAACUCUAUAUAAACUGUUACGAAAACCUUCUUCUCUCCGAGUCUUCUAAAUCUUCUAGGAAGUGCAUGCUGGUGUGACUUCUUUUCUGUUAGAGUAAUACCCUAAUUUAGAACGAGGAUCAGAUCAGUUACAAUGCCGAACGACCUUUUGGUUACCGGUACGUAGCCCCCCUCGGCUCGAGUUGUCCGCUCGGGUAAGCCAGAUCUAGAACAAUAUAACUAGAUUUUAAACCUAUUAAAAAUAGCCUCAUGCUGGAUCCCUAGUAGGAACGCUUGUUUGCAUCACGUGCAUUUCACUUUGGGGACUCAACACAGGGGUUGGGUCCUUCUAGGACAAGUGUACCCGAAAUAAAAAGAUUAUGCUGAUGCAUUUUUUACGUGAUACUUGUGCAUUUAUUUGUUUCAGCUUGCAUGUUGAUCGGCUUCUAGAUUAGGGAAGAAAAAUCAAAGAAAAUCCAAGAUUGAGGUAGGGGCAAAAAAAAUCAUCCGUUUCCCAAAAAAAAUGGUGUUCGUAUUAUCCCAAAACUUUGCCGAAAUUUUGAAAAAAAAAAGAGAAAAGGAAAUUUCAAAAUAGGUCAUGAUUUCCUGUUGCAUCAAAGCUGAUCGAACUACGCGCAUCUGAUUCUCACCGGAUGUGAGAUACGUAGGUAAACCUCAUCAGUUCUGGCUCCAAUUUUUAAAAAUCCAAAAAUAUUUCCUUUAAUUCAUCUUUAGGAGUUUUUCCUUAGAAAAUUCAAAAAAACAAUUAAUAAAGGGAUUUGAAAACCCAAAAAAAUAUUUUCCUUCUUUCGAAAGUCUUUCAUAUAUUAAAAAAGAAAGAAAUAAAAUAAAUCAAUAAAAAUUCAAAAUUCAAAAUAUGGAUUUCUUUCAUUUUGAAGUAGUUUUCCCAAAAAUUCAAA